CCUACGGGUGGCAGCAGUGAGGAAUAUUGGUCAAUGGGCGGGAGCCUGAACCAGCCAAGUCGCGUGAGGGACGACGGUCCUAUGGAUUGUAAACCUCUUUUGUCGGGGAACAAAGGCGCCCACGGGUGGGCGGAUGAGUGUACCCGAAGAAAAAGCAUCUGCUACCUCCGUGCCAGCAGCCGCGGUAAUACGGAGGAUGCGAGCGUUAUCCGGAUUUAUUGGGGUUAAAGGGUGCGGAGGGGGACAGUCAAGUCAGCGGUAAAAAUGCGGUGCUAAAAGCCGUACAGCCGUUGAAACUGGCAGUCUGGAGUGGGCGAGAAGGAGGCGGAAUGCGUGGUGUAGCGGGGAAAUGCAUAGAGAUCACGCAGAACUCCGAUUGCGAAGGCAGCAUACCGGCGCCCGACUGACGCUGAGGCACGAAAGCGUGGGUAUCGAACAGGAUUAGAUACCCGGGUAGUC
rnacentral:rRNA from 1 species